ensembl:lncRNA
AUGCUAAAUCGAACCAAACACCAGGAAAUGGAAAAGGUCUUUGCCUUGGUGCAAUGUGAUGAAUGGGCGUGCUUGAAUGUUCAGGUAUGUUUGCGUGUUAGUGUAUGUGUGUUUGUGAGGAGCGCUGAGCUCGGGCCGGUAAUGGCAGGGAGGAAACUGUUUUUUUUUUCUUUUUGGUUGGAGUCUUUUACACUUAGGAAGUUUAAACAGGAGUCCGUUCACCUGAGCAGCUCACUCACGCUCGUCAGCCCCCAAAGACUACGUCGCCCUGCAACCAGCAGCCGAAAGUGCAAUGCCGCACUACUGAGUCCGCCCCGGAAAAUCACUUCCGCUUCAGCGACCCAGAAUGGCUCAAACAGCAGCGAUGCGUUCAGUCUCACCAACUAGGCGGUUGUCUCAGGUAAUCCGUUUUCUCUCUCUCUCUCUCUUCCCUACUCUCUUUUUUCGUUUCGUUCCUCCUAUAACUCCUCCUUAUAUACACACGUUUCCCAUUUCCGGUUAAUUUAUUUCCCUCCUCCAUCCGGCCACACAGCAAAAGAAAACUCCUCUUUUUUCCUCGUACUGCCACAAGGUGUGACGUGCAUUCUUUUCGGCUCAUUAAAAAUUAAUCUUGCUGCCACGUUCUGGAUUAAUUGUAAAGGUUUGAUAGAGCUGGCUGUAAGACCUGCCAAGAGAGCAUUGCAAUAGUCCAGCCUGGACAGAACAAGAGCUUGAACAAGGAGUUGUGCAUUAUGUUCCGAAAGAAAGGGCCUGAUCUUCUUGAUGUUGAAUAAAGCAAAUCUGCAGGAACGGACAGUUUUAGCAAUGUGGUCUGAGAAAGUCAGCUGAUCAUCAAUUUUUGCUGUUUUUGAAGGAGUUAUGGUUGAUGUGCCUAACUAGAUGGUGAAAUUGUGAUGAAACGAUGGGUUUGCCUGAACCACAAGCUGUUCUGUCUUGGCAAGGUGGAGUUGAAGGUGAUGGUCCUUCAUCCAGCAAGAAAUGUCUGUUAGACAAGCUGAGAUGCGAGCAGUUAUCGUCGGAUCAUCAGGAUGGAAUGAGAGGUAGAGUUGAGUGUCAUCAGCAUAGCAGUGGUAUGAAAAGCCAUGUUUCUGAAUGACAGAACCUAAUGAUGCCAUGUAGACAGAGAAGAGAACUGGUCCAAGAACUGAGCCCUGAGGCACCCCAGUAGUUAGAUGUUGCGACUUGGACACCUCACCUCUCCAAGAUACUUUGAAGGACCUAUCUGAUAAGUAAGACUCAAACCACUGGAGUGGGGUUCCUGAGAUGCCCUUUGCCAAUAGGUUUGAUAGGAGGAUCUGGUGAUUAACCGUGUCAAAAGCAGCGGACAGAUCAAGCAAGGCAGAGACUUGGUUGAAUGCAGCUCGUUCAAGUGUUUUUGCAAUGAAAGGAAGAAGUGAAACUGGUUUGUAGUUCUCUAAAAGAGAUGGGUUGAGGGUGGGUUUCUUAAGUAGUGGGGUUAUAUGAGCCUGUCUAAAUGUUGAGGGAAAACACCAGUGUGGAGGGAUAUGUUAAUGAUGUGAAUGAGUCCAGGUACAACUGCAGGAGAAAUGGCUUGAAGGAGUUGAGUAGUAGGUAGUAGGAUGAUUAGAAAGAAUGAGUUUGGAGACUUCUGCUUCAGAGAGUGAAGAGAAGGAUGUGAAUGAGUGUAUGUUUGCUGGUAAGAUGUGCUUGACAGAUUGUGGUGUGGAAAAUUGUGCACUGAUGCUUUUAAUUUUAUUAAUGAAAAACGUGGCAAAGUUGUCAGCUAUUAGAAUUGAUACAGGAGGGGGAGGAGGAGGACAAAGGAGCGAAGAAUAUGUUUUAAAUAGCAUGCAAGAGUUAGACAAAUUGUUAAUUUUGUUAUGGUAGUAUGUCCUUUUAGCAGUGGAGACAUUAGCAGAGAAGGAAGAGAGGAGUGACUGAUACUCAUUAAGGUCAGUAGUAUUUUUGGAUUUGUGCCACACCCUUUCUCUGGCAACUCUGGCAAUUUGAUAAUACCUAGAAUAUCAAAAUCAACUGCAGGCGGCAGAUCUUUUUCCUAUUUAGAGCCUAAACUCUGGAAUAACCUACCUAACAUUGUUCGGGAGGCAAACACACUCUUGCAGUUUAAAUCUAGUUUAAAGACCCAUCUCUUUAACCUGGCUUACACAUAAUACACAAAUACGCUUCUAAUAUCCAAAUCUGAAAAAGGAGUUUUAGGCUGCAUUAAUUAGGUCAACCGGAACCGGGAACACUUCCCAUAACACCCGAUGUACUUGCUACAUCGUUAGAAGAAUAGCAUCUACGCUAAUAUUAGUCUGUUUCUCUCUUAUUCCGAGGUCACCAUAGCCACCAGAUCCAGAUCAGAUGGUCACUGCAGUCACCCGGAUCCAGUACGUAUCCAGACCAGAUGGUGGAUCAGCACCUAGAAAGGACCUCUACAGCCUUGAAAGACAGCGGAGACCAGGACAACUAGAUGAGCCCCAGAUAUAGAUCCUCUGUAGAGACCUUGUCUCAGACAACCACUAGGACAAGACCACAGGAACCAGUUGAGUCCUUUGCACAGUGUGACUUUGCUGCAGCCUGGAAUUGAACUGCUGUUUCAUCUGGUCAGAGGAGAACUGGCCCCCCGACUGAGCCUGGUUUCUUCCAAGGUUUUUUCUCCAUUCUGUCACCGAUGGAGUUUUGGUUCCUUGCCGCUGUUGCCCUCUGGCUUGCUUAGUUGGGGACAUUUAAUUUCCAGCGAUAUCGCUGUCUUGAUUGCAAAGAUACUAUUUAAACUGAACUGAGCUGGAUGAUGACAUCACUGAAUUCAAUGAAGAACUGCCUUUAACUGAAAAAUUAGUGUUUACUAUUGUCAUUUUGCAUUAUUGACACACUAUUUUCCUAAUUAAUGUUGUUCAGUUGCUUUGACGCGAUCUGUAUUGUUAAAAGCGCUAUAUAAAUAAAGGUGACUUGACUUGACUUGACUUUCAGCAGCUCUAAGCAUAGAACGAUGCUCAAUGAGAACAUCGGAUAACCAAGGGGCAGAAGGGGUGGUAUCGGCUGGCCUGGAAGGCAAGGGUCAGACAGUGUCUAAACAAGAUGUAAGAGUGGAGCAGAAAGUAUCAGUAGCACUGUUAGCAUCAAAAGGUGCUAACAGUUUAGGGGAAGGAAGCGAAGAUGAAACCAUAGCAGAUCGCCAGGAGGGUAAGAGUGAGCGUAGGUUACGUCAAAAGAUGACAUGUGGAGGGGUAUGUGUUUUGUCAGGAACCAUGUUGAGGUUAAGAUUGAGGAGGAAGUGAUCCGAGGUGUACAGUGGAGUAACCAGUACAUGAUCAGUGGAGCAGUGUCGUGUGUAAAUAAGGUCCAGUUGGUUGCCUGCUUUGUGAGUAGCAGUAGUUGAGAUCAAAAGAGGCAAGCAGCAUGUGGAAGUCUGCAGACUGAGGUUUAUCUAUAGGUGGAUGUUGAAGUCUCCAAGCAUAACUAGGGGAGUACCAUCCUCAGGAAAGGUUGAGAGCAGCACAUCUAAUUCAUCCAAAAAGUUACCUAGUUGUCCUGGGGAUCGAUAAACAACUACAAAAUGGAUUUUAAGAGGGUAGAUAAUAGUAACUGAAUGAGAUUCAAAUGAGCUGUUGAUACCCAAAGACGGUAAAGGAUUCAAUUUCCAAUCAUAAGAGAUAAGCAGACUAGUACCUCCACCUCUUCCAGUCAAAUGGGGGGAGUGGGAAAAUGAGAAAUUAUUGGAGAGUGCUGCAGGUGUAGCAGUGUCCUAUGGUUUGAUCCAGGUCUCUGUCAGGGCCAUGAGAUUUAGCUUUGAAUGACUAAUAAUAGAAGUAAUGAACAUAGCACACAUAGCAACGUCAUAUGACCCCUUUAAUCUGUCUAUCUAUCUAUCUCUCUCUCUCUAUAUAUAUAUAAUUAUAUAUAUACACACACACACACACACACACAAAGGUGCAUCUAAAUAAAUCAGAAUGUUGUGGAAAAGUUCAUUUCAGUAAUUCAACUCGAAUUGUGAAACUCGUUUAUUAAAU